GAUGAACGCUGGCGGCGUGCCUAAUACAUGCAAGUCGAGCGAACAGACGAGGAGCUUGCUCCUCUGACGUUAGCGGCGGACGGGUGAGUAACACGUGGAUAACCUACCUAUAAGACUGGGAUAACUUCGGGAAACCGGAGCUAAUACCGGAUAAUAUAUUGAACCGCAUGGUUCAAUAGUGAAAGACGGUUUUGCUGUCACUUAUAGAUGGAUCCGCGCCGCAUUAGCUAGUUGGUAAGGUAACGGCUUACCAAGGCAACGAUGCGUAGCCGACCUGAGAGGGUGAUCGGCCACACUGGAACUGAGACACGGUUCAGACUCCUACGGGAGGCAGCAGUAGGGAAUCUUACGCAAUGGGCGAAAGCCUGACGGAGCAACGCCGCGUGAGUGAUGAAGGUCUUCGGAUCGUAAAACUCUGUUAUUAGGGAAGAACAAAUGUGUAAGUAACUAUGCACGUCUUGACGGUACCUAAUCAGAAAGCCACGGCUAACUACGUG
rnacentral:rRNA from 1 species